rnacentral:lncRNA from 1 species
CACGUGAUUUUGAGAAAUUUCAUUUUUUUUGGACCCCUGGUCUUUCUAUUCGUAUGUGCUGAUAAACACCUCUUAACAUUUAUAUAUAGCUAAAGGUUUUAGCUCAAACUGGGUGAAAUUAGAGAAAAAAAAGGUUGGGGGUUUUUUUUUUNNNNNNNNNNNNNNNNNNNNNNNNNNNNNNNNNNNNUUAAAAAGAACAGUUUCAAUAGUUUUACAUACUAGGGUACGCGUGAAUUAUUUAAACUCAAUUCUAACACUACCAGGACAAGCACUUUACCCGACGAAUAGUGUCGUCGGGAAAGGGUCGUCGGCGAUGGCUUUAACCGACGAAACUAGAGACCGUCGUCGGCUAUUAUCCAGACUUUAGCCGACGAACUAUUUUGUCGUCGGCUUUUGUUCAUGCAUUUAAGCCGACGAAACAGACACUAUAUUUCGUCGGCUAUUGUUCCAGACUUUAGCCGACGAAAUAGGAUGUCGUUGGCUAUACUCCAGACUUAAGCCGACGUAACAGAAAUAUUCGUCGGCUUUACUACCAGACUUUAGCCGACGAAAUAGAGAUAUUCGUCGGCUAAAGUAUAUAAUUUAAAAAAUUAAAAAUAACUAUAGCCGACGAAAUAGAGUCUAUUUCGUCAGCUUUAGUAGGGUUUAGCCGACGAAACAUGUCAUAAUUCGUCGGCUAAACCCUAUGGAAAAAAAUUAAAAAUACUAUAGCAGACGAAUUGUGGCAUGUUUCAUCGGCUAUAACUCCAUUCCAGUAAAAAAAAUACGCGAAAUUUCUAAAUUACCAUUCCAAGCAAGCUGCAAAAUACACCAAAACAAUUCCAUAUAUAUAACCAACAAGAAGCACAUAAAACUAUAUAAGGUAUCAACUACACAAAAUCUAGAUGGUCUAAAUCAAUAUCCGAUUCUGGGGCCUGCUGGUGAGGAGAUUGUGGUGGCAGAGGUAACUGUAUAGGCGCAGGCAUGGGCGGAGGUGGAAGUCCCUGAAGCUGGGCAGCUGUAAAAUCUUGGAACUGUAUAGGCGCAGGCAUGGGCGGAGGUGGAAGUCCUUGAAGCUGGGCAGCUGUAAAAUCCUGGAAGUACUGGAACAUCUGCUGAUGCUGGGCCUACUGGGCGGCAUGUAGGGCUCUAGCAUAGGCUCUAUAUUCGGCGAUCUGGGCAGCAUGAGCGGCAGCCUGAGCAGCAUGAGUGUCAGCCUGAGCGGCUUGCUGUUCCCGUAGUCUCUCAACUUCCGACUCUAGCUGAGUCGUCCUGCUGCUGGUCUAGGCUGUCUUUCAUUGAAAUCCUGGAGUGGUCUUCAUGACCCCCUGGCCCUUCUUUCCUAGACCCCGGCAGUAGAAGUUGUUUUCUCGUGGUGGGAAGGCUGUGCCCAUGAUCCUCUCCCCAACCCUCGGAUCUGAAGUGUCGAUCCGGGAAAUGGCUUCGGACAUCUCUUCCUCUCGCGUGUCCGGCCAUGUCUCCCUCAUUAUAGCACUCAUCACCUCGUCACUAGCCUCCCUCACCUUUUCCUAAUUGGAUAGAAAAAAAAUUAUUAAUUAACAUUUUGACAUAUAUAUAAGUAAAAUUAAAAAUUCCGUAAAAAGGAAAGAUUACUUACUAUAUCCUCCUGGGAGUCAGGAUAUGCCUUCUCGUACGUAUAGACGUACUGGUUGACCUCUGGAUGUUCCCUGGCCGCCUCGUCCAUGAAGACAGCGAACGGUCUAGAACUGGCAUGAUGGUUCCUUGUGUUGCGUUGCCGGUUCUGAGCGUUCGCCAGGGAAACCGCCUUCAAAGAAAAAACAAAACUAUUAGUAAAAUAUUUAAAAACGCACGUACUUAAUGACAAAUUCACUAAUUAAUUUAUUUAAAUACCUGUUUACGAGGGUUGUUGAAUUCUGAUGUCAGAAGCCAACGCCACUCGUACUCUCUGUACUGGAACUCAGUAGGGGUAGCAGAACGUGCGUUCUCCUGCGUAGUCCAAUGGGUCCGCAAAUCGUUCUUCCACUCCUUGUACCUACACAUACAACAAAAAUAUUAGAAAUAUUAUUAAUAUGACAUACAAUUUUGUUUUUUCAUUAACUUCCCAACGUACCAUCCCCCAUGCACAAAGUCCGCCCAGCUGCUCUUCAAGGGCUCGGGAACCUCAAACCACACAUGUAUUUAACCGUUUAUUAGUUUAGUUUUUCGAGAAAUCUAAACUAUAAUACAUAAUAUUAUUAAGGCAUUUUGUAAACUCACCGACAUCGCGUUGUGGACCAUGUCCUUAACCUCUUGCGGGUCCUCGCCCCAGUCUGACCACAACAUGAGGACUCUAUCCCUAAUGAGCGCUCCCACACGGCCGGAGUACGUCAUCGACUUCCCGCCCGAUACUACGUCGUCAUCCCCGUCAGUACCGAUGACAAUCCUCCCUGAGGUACCGACGAUCUUCUCGAGAGCCUUCCUUGUGACGGGGCCUCUCUUCUUUUUUGUCGGUUUCGCUCCGACGGUGCCUAUCACAUGAUAAACCAAAUUGAUUAUUAAAAUCGGAGAAUUAUAAGAAAACAAAUCAUUCAUCUUUCAUUACCUGAGGGCGAGGAGGCGGACGCGACGGAUUCCGUCUCCGAUGAUGAUACCCUCGCGGAAAUAAGAGGCGUAUCAAAAGGCACGAACCGAUACGCCGCUGAUGGAGCCACUGGCGGGGGCAGUGUAUAAAUCGGCGUCCCUGAGUCAUCGACUACAGGUAUGGCCGGUAUCAUCCGCGGAAGGAAUAGGUGAGGCGGCGGCAUCUGUACCCCAGAUGACCCACUAUCCGAAGAAGUAGGACCUGGAGUGGGCGCUCGGUGUAUCUCAGGCAUACGGGGUGCAGACACCUCCGUCUGGGUCUAAGCAAACAACUGCCUCGAGAUAUGAGGGACGCCCCGCUGCCUCGAUGAAGGGCCCAUCUCCGGCUGCCUCUGCGCCGUCUGCAGAAGGCUCGCAUGUCUAGCUGUCAUGAGGCCCUGAAACGACGUCUGAGGGUUGCUAGAGGUUCCCUCAGACGAUACGGACCUUUGGCCCUUCGAACCCUUCGUCAAUCUAAUAUUACCGCUCAUCCUAUUUAAAAUAUAAAUUUGAAUCAAGGCCACAAAAUCAAAAAAUGCAAACUCAUUUAAAAAAUGUAAAAAAUAUAUACACUUCCUAAAUACAAAUUUUCACUUCCUAAAAUUUACACAUAUACACUUCCUAAAUAUACACUUCAUAAAUAAAAAUAUACACUUCCUAACAACACCACAACAUUGCAAUUGACCGGAAAAUCAAAGCAAACACAAAAUACAAAACAAAUAUAUACAUUUCCUAAAUACUAAAUACAAAUAUACAUUUAUUAAAUAACAAUAUACACUUCCUAAAUACAAAUAUACACUUCCUAACAACACCACAACAUUGCAAUUGACCGGAAAAUAAAAGCAAACACAAAAUAUAACUAAAGUUCAGAAAUGUACUCGAGGAGGAGGAGGGAGGACCGGAGCAGCAGCAGGAGGAGGUCGGAGCAGCAGCAGGUGGAGGCCGGAGCAGCAGGAGGAGGAGGAGGAGGAGGAGGCCGGAGCAGGAGGAGGAGACCGGAGGAGGAGGAGGAGGAGGAGGCUGGAGGAGGAGGCUAGGGCCAAAGGAGGAGGCAGGAGAGGGAGAGGGAGGAGGCUAGGGCUGGAGGAGGAGGCCGGAGAGGGAGAGGGAGGAGGAGGAGGCCGGAGUAGGGAGAGGGAGGAGCGAGGAGGAUGAGGUCGGAGGAGGAGGAGGAGCAGGAGGAGGAGGCCGGNNNNNNNNNNNNNNNNNNNNUUCUAGUAUAAUUCGUCGGCUAAGAUGGUUUAGGCCGAUGAAUUAUGUUGUAUUUCGUCGGCUUAAGUAAAAAAUACAAACCCUAAAACAGAAGGUUUAAACCAUACUAAUUUCCUGUUCAUAUAUCACCAAAAUUCAUAUAAAAUAAUAGAAAUAUGAAUUCAACAUAUGUAAACUAUAAAUUAAGGUAAUACAAUCUUUUUUAUUACAAAUUAAUGUAUUACGUCCUCUAAAUUAAAACUAAGGCUCGUAAUCGGAAUCAUCCGAUGAGUCUUCUUUGGUGUCAGAAUUAAUUUCUGGUAAUCUAUGUAUUUCCUCAUCGCCAGAGUCUUCGUCUGUUUCUUGAUUUGGAUCAACAUCAAUAAGCCUUGGCUCUUCAUCACGAAUUCGCACCGAACGACCCGUUUUAAAAUUAUUAAGGCGAACGGUAGAGGAGUUAGGAAUACCUAUUGCGUUGGGCUCUUGAUACGCAACAUCUUCUUCCUGGUCUUCGGCCUCUCCAAGUGUAGCCGCCCGGUAAAUGUUUCGAGGGUGCACAAGGUUGACUACUUUCCACACGUCACCCUUAGCAAGGUCAUCAAGAUAAAACACUUGUUUUACCGAUGUGGCAAAAACGAACGGGUCAUCUUCGUAAGAACUUGUAGCAGUGUUCACCGAUAAUAUUCCGUAAUGAUCGAUCUUCAUGCUCUGCGGGCUAGUAUCAAACCAUCUACACUUGAAGAGGUGCAUUGUCAUGCCUUCACCGUAAACGAGUUCCACCACUGAAUCAAGAACACCGUAAUAGUCAACUCCAUUCCGCCCACCAUGUGUCAUCACCCCAGAAUUCUGUGUUCUCCGUCUGCUGUCUCUCUGUUUACAUAUAAAUUGCACGCCAUUCACCUCGCACAUCGGAUAAACUCUUGACAUUAUCGGCUUCAUCGCUAGAAGUCUUAGUUCGUGCGACCAAUUUGGGUGACCAUCAAAUUGAAUAUGGUUCAUCUGCAACCAACAAUUUAACAUUGUAAAUAUAGAUAAUUAUGCAAUAAACAUAAAUACAUACAUAAAUAUUGAAUUACGUACCCAGCCGCAAAAAUAGUUUACGAACUCCCUGUUGUGGUACUCGAGAUCACCAUGAAUGUCUGGACAAUAUAGAUGGAUGUCUUUCCAGUAUUCAACUUCUGAACAGUUAAUCAAUACCCACCAGUGGGCAAUGACUAGCUCAUGUGGUUGCAACUUGUAGGAGUCUGGCAAAAUUCCAUAAACUUCAACAUCACUGGAGAGUAUGGAAAGAUUGAACUUCGGUACAUCUACCGGCAUGGCUUCGUCUGUUUCCUUCAACGCUCCUAAAUACAACUUCAUGUAGGUGACGCACUCGUGCGCAAUAUAUGCUUCAGCUAUACAUCCUUCAGGCGCGGAUUUAUUAGCCACAUAAUCUUUGUAGUCUCUAAGUUGCCUAUAAAUCANN